GGCUUGGUCUUUGAGGAUCCUUUGGCCUUCUUUGUUGAAUUUUGGAAGUGACAUAAAUGUUUCUCUGCUUGAGCUGCAGCUGUGGGAAAUCCUACGGGUUGAAACCUGAUUGGUUUGUUUACGUAGUGAUUAUAAUUUGUAAAAGAUCAUACACCUCUUCACUUUUUCCUGUAAAAACAAAAAUUCAGCCCUGAUGACAUUUACUUGUAAUGUGACAGAUUUCCUGGCCUUGUUUUGGGUCAAACUUAUCAGAGGGAAGGCUGACAGCAGCACGUCACACAACCAAAAGACAACGCAGCCUGUGUGAACAUCCUGAGAGCACAAGCUGGAUCUGUGUGAAACCCAGAUGAAUGCUGAACAGCCUGCUUUACCUCAAAUUCUGCCCACAUAUUAUUCCUGUGAAGUUUCCUAUGUCAUGGUAUUUCUGUCACAUGGGCCGGUUGGCCAAUCAUUGUUGGGCUUUUUGUGAUGUUGUGUGGUCACGUGGGUCAGCAUGGCCAGCAAGGUGCAGUAAUUAUGCCAUGUGGUUUAGUCUGAGGAGGAGCAGUGGGGGCGCUGCAUGAAAGCUGAGCUACAGGAGCCUUCUAUGUGCCUAAACAGUGAAGAAUGUGUCAUGUUUGGUGUAAACCAUGGACUGACCAGGUUCCUAACCGAUAGAGAGCUAAGGGAGGAGUCUCCUCUCUGCACCUGUCCUGCCAGGCUGGUAGGGGGCUCUCGUAGGGGGCUCACAUAAGAACUUUCACACUCAUUCUGCCCACCGCCCAUCAUCGACACACAUUUUACCCACAAAACUGUCUCACAAAUAUCCCCCCUGGACUCAACCUCAAACACAGACAUGUAUUUUGUAUCUAUACUGAACUUGGGUUUUUGGAGAUAUUGAACAACUUGACUCUCUAUUAUAUUUUAUUAUUUUUAUAUUUUAUAUUAUAUUGAUAUCUAUUUGUCAUGUCUGACUUUACUAACUGUGCUUCGUGAAUGAUUAAUGUGCAUAAGUAAGUUGACUGAAGAGCGUUAAUUUAUUUGAUUGUCUAUUCUUAGGAAGUCUUCCUUUGAUUUCCGUCCCUCUAUAUAGUUGUACUUUAUUUGCCAUGUGUCAUUUAUUCUACCUCACAAUAUAUGGCACCAUCCAAAAGCAACCUCAGUCUCUUGUCCAGUCUCUCCUUGACAGAUCCUAGACUUCUGAUUACAAGCCUAUUACAACGCAUUACUGUGUAAAAACGUUACACAGACGUCAUGAAAUAUUUAUACAAUACUAAGUCUUUGCACCAUCUUAGUUCGACAUAGUUGCUCAAUGUGUCCCUAACACAUCGAGCACACUUGUGUGAAGCAGGGUUUGCCUCCCCUUCAUGGUUAGGUACUCUCCAUAAGGUUUCCAUCCACGUGUUCAGAACUGCUUCUUUGCAUUGGUCACAUGAUACACCAUCUACAUAUUUAUGAGUCCAUGGGCACCUGUCUCAGGAAGAUGGUAGUUUUUCCAUGGCUGCGAUUUUUGAUGGUUUAUAAACCUUAGAAAUACAACACUGAUCUAAAAACUUUGUUUAUGUUUCUUUUGCACUUGCAGACUAUUUGGUGACAUUGAAACAUGUCUGUAAGUCCUCCCCACUACAGAAACCAUGUGGGUGACGAUCUGUUCUGGUCAGCCUCUGAAUAACAGUCCCCUCACAUGCUUGCUUAAGGCGGAGGAAUCUCCCCUAAAGCUAUCCAGUCACCCUCCAGUUUGGGGCCUGUUUCUGCUAACUGACUGUUAGCAUGCUUGAUAGCCUGAAAAAGAACAGAAAGUGUUGCUCUAAAAUGUCAGCGCUGUCAAAACACCGUCAUGUGGAUCAACAUUGUAAAUAUGCAUGCCACAAUAGCUGUGUUAACCCUCACAGAUUUAGCUGCUACUCCUGUUCAAGUAAUUCCAGUGAUUAAGAUAGAUAGAUAGAUAGAUAGAUAGAUAGAUAGAUAGAUAGAUAGAUAGAUAGAUAGAUAGAUAGAUGCUUUUUUUCCUGGUUUUGGUCAGGGGAUUUUCUUUUAUUCAUCAUUUUUCUCAAGACACUGUUAGACCUGAAGUGAUUACUACAUCAAACUGAUGAAAGUGUUUCUGUAUUUUAUAUAGUCCAGAGAAAGUCAUUUAAUUUUGUAAUGGUCCAUAUCAAGUCAGUGUCAUUUAUCAUAAUUUCACUUACAUAUGACAAAGACAAAAAACAAAACAAAAAAAAAACACACAUUUUCUAAAAAGUGUGUUUCUCAUGUUUCCAACUUUAAAAAACAGGCUCUAUACUUCCAGUUUCUUGUUUCAGGUUUAAGUUGGAAAACUAAAAAUCAAAACCUGCUUUCACCGCAUACAGAGAACUGUGUUCGAUUCAAUCUUUUUUAUUGCAAUGACAUCACUUACUUGACUUUAUCCACUUUAUUCCUAGCUCCCAUGAUGCUUUGUGUAAAUUACUGGUGCGUCUUUUGAUGGCUUUUGUCACUGGAUGUGGAGCUGGCAUUUUCCAUAGCAACUGUACACCAAUCACUGUUAUUAGAGUGAUCAGAUGUUAAAACAAUAUGGGAACAUCAUCUGUCCCUGUUUGGAAACCAGGUGUUUUAGUCUGGACUUGAAAGCACAACUGGAGGCAGAUGAGGCAGUUAAGUAAAUUUACUGAAGGCAAAAAGGUGGAGAGGAGGGAUCCAGGGUCCAUGACAUGGGGGGAGUGAGGCAGAGGUGGAGGUUUGGUGGUAGCACUGAAGGCUCAUGGAGGCACUGGGAUAGAUGGAGGGAAAACUAAAUUAAUUACCUGAAAAACACAAAAGGCUGGAAAGCUCAAACAAUUUGCAAAUUUGCACGAGAGCUCUCGGAAACUGGCUGAGAUACCACAUCAGAUGCUGGAAUAAUCUGGCACUGGAGGAGCAUCACAGCAGGGCUGAAGUGCAGGUGGUGAUUGCAGUAAUCUGGUGCAGGUAGAGCCAGUGCAGAAGAAAGCUGUCCAAUCUCUGUGAGGAAUAGAGAGACAAACUCCACACAAGAAAAGUCCAGAAAUGCCAAACCAUGUUGUAACCACCACAGUUACACCUUAAACAGGACAAUGUUACCACUGCUGCCCUCCUCUAUCGAGGGAUAGAAAGGUGAUAUAUUAAAUGGCCUGAAAUGACAAAUACUAGCAUAUGUAGCCAGGUUUUUAGCCCCAUUGCUGUCAAUGGGGAGGCUGAGGCUUAUCUGUACUUAUAUGGCUACAAAGAUGGUUGUGUUCCAUUAUAAGAGGUUGGACAUGAUCUUAUGUAGAGCAGAUGUAGAGCCAAGUCAGAGCCUGUGGAAGGUGUGUUAGUAUUUUGGCAGAUUUUUACUCACUAAUCACACACAAAAUCAUUAAAUAAAUACAUUUUUAAUCACUGUGACUGUAUUUAACACAGGAAAUUCUCUAAUGUAGGUAUAUUUCUCAUGUGUUUCAUUUCCUCAUUGAGCCCUUGUGAUGCUGUUUCCUGUUUUCUUAGUUCUUUUACUUAUUUAAUAUUUUAAAUUCAUAAUAAUAAUAAUAAUAAUAAUAAUAAUAAUAAUUAUAAUUAUUAUUAUUAUUAUUAUUAUUAUUAUUAGUAGUAGUAGUAGUAGUAGUAGUAGUAUUACAGCUCUCGUUUACCUACGAUAAUAUGAAUUGGAUAGUGUGUAUGUGUGUGGCGCGGUCUCUUGUUAUUAAUUUCCUUUUCUUUUCAUGUUCUGCACUUAACGCUGGAUUAUUAUUGUCUGAAAAGUGCUUUAUAAAUAAAGUCUGAUUGGUGUAUGAGUUUCAUCUGUCAGACAGACACAGUCUCUGCAGGUUUCUUCAGGUUUAGAUUUAGGAGGGGCAUCAGGUAGCACCACUGUAGUCACCUAGCAGCAGGUCAAACAUAGUGGUGCGACAGUAGUAAACCAACUGCUGCAGUAUAAAUUCUACAUAAUGAACCUUUAAAUCUUGAGACAAGUGGGUUUAAAAAUGCACACUUAACCAAAGCUUGGUUUCAUUAUCUGACUGCAGCAACAAACGAACAGCUUGUUCGGACCUUGGAGCUCUUGUUUGGUUGAUCAGGGGCCUGUUCUACGAAGCAGGUUCAACCUAGCAAGGUAGCCUUUGAGCUUCCUCGCUCAACUUAGCGCGGUACCCAGCGGUCUCGCUAAGCGGUUUUACGACGCUGGUUAUCAACCUCAUAAGUGGAUCCAGCUCUGCUAUGAGCGCGUGCACACAUAUAAGGCAGAGCCCGCCGCAUCUGACCAAUCACGAACAUGGAUCAGUCUGGAGCGUCAGAGCAGGACGGAGAGUGAAGGACCGCAGACUUUACAAACGAGGAACAGGAGACCAUCAUGAGAAAGUAUGAAGAAUUGAAAGCUAUCAUAAACCUCAAUAGCAACACCGUCGCCGCCGCAAAAGCACGGAGGGAUUGCUGGCAGAAAAGUAAUCUUUGAUGUCAUUAUCACCCUGAAAUAGCACUGUUCAACAUGCGCUUUUAACUAAGGUGACAGUCCCCGAAUUGGAUGAUCUGUCCCCGGCUAAAGCUGUCCCCGAAAAUGUCCCUGAUUGAAGCGUUUCAUGAAUGAGAACAAAAAUGUUGCACGUGGGCUCGAACAACGGUUAUUACAGUGGGUAGGAAGCACAAGUAAGCAGUCCUGAACAACAGUAUUUACGGGGGUUAUUAUAAGGGGCGUGCGCUGCUACUAAAUAGUACCGAGAUGUUGUCUGUGAUCUCGCAGCCCAUGCCCAUUCAUUCCCAAGAUGAAUCAUUCAUGUGUUCAUUCCUAUCGUGUUUACAUGUUUUGUGUAAUAUGUCAGCCAUAUGAGCCUUUCAUAAAGGUUGUCAUCCGGAGAAAACUCUCCCUGAAAACUCUCGCGAGCCGGAGUGCUCCUCCACGGACAAUGCGAGCACCGAGGUCUAUAGGAUCCUCCAAGAACGGACACGCCGUUUUUCGAGAGAGCUCAUUGGUCAGUGGGCGGGGUUCUUAUACUCUUUGAGUUCAAUCUGGAACUUAACCUGCCCUGGAGCAGGUUAGCCGUUCAGCGUAUAUUGCUAUGGAGACUCGCCUCGCUAAGAAGUGAACCCGCGUCGUAGAACAGGAAACCCCGAACUUAUCCUCGAAGUUACCUCGCUAAGCAGUAAUCCUGCUUCGUAGAACAGGCCCCUGGUGUCCCUAGUUGGGGUAAAAAACAAUAUUCGGACCAAAUAGGCUCCAAAUGGAAAAAGGGCAAUGGUGUGUAGAAAAGCCCCAUCUUUCAGGGAGGACUAUUUGAAUGACUUAAAAAACAUAAAUGAUUUUAAUGCAACGUUUCAUCCACUAAAGUGAAUUACAUUAAGCACUUUUUAUGCAGUAAGGUGAUGAAAUGUGACAUGGUCUUUAUCUAAAUGCUUCCCUCUGUUCGUUUCUUUCUGUCUCCCCACACUUUGCCGUAAAGGCGACACAGAGCGUUCUCUCACCUCACUUGUCAGCUGUGCUUUUAAAAGCACAUUUGAGGUCAGUCAGGAGGCUUAAUAAAUAUGAAAAGGAAGAAAACUACAAAAUGGAUGACGAGGCAAAGUGAGCCGGUAGCUAAAACAGCAAGUCACCCUGCUGGACAGCUGAGCUAGCAAUGAAAAGAAAAACAUGGCUCGAUGGAGGAGGAAGAGCAAGGGAGAGAGAGAGGGGGAGAGCUGGAGAGGUGGGUAGAGAGAGAGAGAGAGAAAGAUGUCGAGGGAGGAAAAGUGUGUGUGUGUGUGGGGGAGAGAGGGAGUGUGUGUGUGUGUGUGCCUAUGUGUGAGCAAAAAAGAGAGAGGUGUACCUGAAGAUGCUGACCUCAUAUUAAAACUCCAGUUGAUGGGUAAGUGGAUUUUUAUACUUUACUAUUCAGUAGAACAAGAUUCAUACACUGUAAAAAGUGAGGAGGUAAGUAUUCUAGCCCAAACCUAAAACAGUCGACUUUGUUGUAAAAGAUCUUUUUAAUCCUCUCUAAACUGUUUUUCAAUCUGGAGUACGGAUCGGUGAGAGGAAGACACUGAGACAACACCACUUUGUGAUUUUAUCUUGUACUUUAUUAAGGGUAUUAUUUGUCUGUGCAGAGUCUGAGACCUCGAGAAGAACCAACAUACCAAAUAUCCAAAGUUAAGUCUGAAUGGUUUAUGCGGUCAGCCCAACUCCAGUCAUAGUCCAUAAUACUGACCCUGUUUUAGAGUCUUUUUAACCAAAACCCACUGGAAGUUUCUGUGUUAGAGAGGAUUUAUGACAGUAAACCAAGCAGGACGUUCAAUCUUUUUUUAAAGCCAUGGUUCAGGAGGAACAAUUGCCGAAUCAUCAACUUUAUGAGCGAGUUAGGAGAGCGACUGCAGACAUGAGCAGAAAUAAAUGUAUGUACAAGUACAACACUGUGAGAGAGUCCUGUGGUGCCAGCUGUGUUAUGAAACCUACAAUCCUUAAAUAGAACUGUAUAAUCAAAUAUUAUUAAACAAGUUCUCACAUUAUAUAGUGUUUACAAAAUGUUCCAUUUGUUCAAUUGAUUUUUAUUUAUUUACUUUGAUUGCACUGAUCUUAAUCUUGCUCACAUCUUGUAUCCUGUGUACACUUUGUUGUAUUUCAUGGCAGCAGCUAAAGAGAAGUUGAGAUUUUACAUCUCUCUCCAUCCAGCUCUCAUUGUUUUACUGAAUUCAGAAUAAUUCUGUGACCCAGUUUAACCUUCCUGUGACCUAGCUGCAGGUCCUGACGGAGUCUUUAAAAAGCUUGAGUGCAGAGGACUGAGCUGUAGCUAUAAAGACAGAAACUCAAAGAGAACUUUGACAGCUAACGGCAGUGUCGUCAUAACCACUGCAUCCUGACUGCUGCGAGGACCAGCGACCAACAGCUCUAAAAAAAAUGACGUUAUGAGAGGACACGUCACCUAACAGACAGGAAAAUCCUUAAAAAAAGUCAGUUUAGUUUUACAGUUCAAGUUUAGCUUCAUUGUUGUUGCACCGUCUACAACCUGUUUUAUUGCCAAAGAGGGAGCCUGUGGAUCUGAUUAUGGCUACUGAGUCCUUUCUUAGCACCUUGACCAGAUCUCCACAUUAACACUGUAGCUCUUGGCUCCCAAGUGUCUGGAGUUGUCACUGAACACUGGCCAAUGUGCAGGUUCAUAAUAGCAGGGUUUCAAUGCAGUAUUCUUUGAGUGCAUUUUACACUUCGCGCUCACUUCUGUUUGACCUGGAGACCAACAGUGGAGCUACUUCCCAGCAGUAUUUUGCCGUAAGAGGUCAAGAGGCAGACCGCCUCUGUCAGGAGUUAGCAGCUGUUUUACACCUCAUGUGGAAUGUGGCUUGUUUUUGACUCUAUCUUUUGCAAUAACAGUGGGUCACUGUCUGAUGAAUUUGUAACCUGGAUCGUAACAUCAUGCUCCAUGUGUCCUCAAAUGCUCAAUUAUGUCAGUCGUAAGAUUCUGCCAUCAACACAGGUUCUGGCGAGCAAGAGACCUGCAGCAUUAACAUGUGCCUUCUGUGUCCACAAUGAGACUCCAUCACUUUUUUAAAACACACAAUAAAUUUACAACAAACACAUUAAUAGACAAGAAGAAAAAAAAUGAAAGAAGAGAAAGCUGUUGCAGGGCGGCCCUGGUGUGGUUGGUUUCCUUGACAACCAAGGGGCGAAGCGGCAGCAGACUAUACAUAUGCUUUCGAGGAUCAUGACGAGUGGCGAGAAAAAUGUUGCAUGGACAAGUGGAUGGAGCGGCUGAUCAGCAACUUGGCUUGGACAUCAUCUGGUGAGAUAUUAAUAGACUUACUGUUGAAGAUGUAAUGGAAACACUGUGUUCACAAAGACUCAUCUCUAAAGGCUGUAUGCAGUAGUUCAUAUGGUUUUUGCUGAAUUUCUCUCGGUAUUUCUGGGAUUUUCUCCACUUCCUGGAACCACCACUUGUGCAGUAGUUUUGUACGCAUUUAGUGGGAGAGUUGCUGUGAUGAGACUCAGCUUAAACAGUGUAUCCCCCCAGUGGGCUACGCAAUCUUCAUAGGCCCAGAGGCUGUAUCAAGUGUCAAUAAGAGAAAACAUGAACCCCCCCUAAUAACUUUUAAAAUUCUAGCUGAACAGAAAAAAGAGGACUUGAGCACAAACCAGUUUUAUGGUAACUACAUGUCAACAUCGCAACCAGGGGGGAGAAACAUUUAUAUUUUGUGUAAUAAAUUUCUAAAGUCUGUCCACAGCUCCAUAAGGAUUGCUGGAGGAGGUGGAAUUCAUGAUCUAUACUGCAGCCCAUCACCAGGGUGGCUUCACCCAGCGAGGAGGCAGACAGUGUCCAUUCUAUAUACAGUUUAUGGCCCAAACAUGUUGAGAGUGUGACCUGGAAGUGUGAGUUUGAAAGUAAACAUAUUCAACCAUUCUGAGUUUAAAAGUGUCCGCUUGGCCUUAUUGCACAGUUACAGUAAAUAAAUAAAAAAAAGACAGUGUAAAAGACAGUUAAGAGAUAAGUUGCAACUACAUCUGCGCAUUCAGGAUCUUAACAGAUGUUGGGAUAAAAGAGUGUUUAAAACGGUUAAG